rnacentral:rRNA from 1 species
UCAGGAUGAACGCUGGCGGCGUGCCUAACACAUGCAAGUCGAGCGAAGCACUUUACUUGAUUUCUUCGGAUUGAAGGUAUAGUGACUGAGCGGCGGACGGGUGAGUAACGCGUGGGUAACCUGCCUCAUACAGGGGGAUAACAGUUAGAAAUGACUGCUAAUACCGCAUAAGACCACAGCACCGCAUGGUGCGGGGGUAAAAACUCCGGUGGUAUGAGAUGGACCCGCGUCUGAUUAGCUAGUUGGUAAGGUAAGGGCUUACCAAGGCGACGAUCAGUAGCCGACCUGAGAGGGUGACCGGCCACAUUGGGACUGAGACACGGCCCAAACCCCUACGGGAGGCAGCAGUGGGGAAUAUUGCACAAUGGGGGAAACCCUGAUGCAGCGACGCCGCGUGAGUGAUGAAGUAUUUCGGUAUGUAAAGCUCUAUCAGCAGGGAAGAAAAUGACGGUACCUGACUAAGAAGCACCGGCUAAAUACGUGCCAGCAGCCGCGGUAAUACGUAUGGUGCAAGCGUUAUCCGGAUUUACUGGGUGUAAAGGGAGCGUAGACGGAGAGGCAAGUCUGAUGUGAAAACCCGGGGCUCAACCCCGGGACUGCAUUGGAAACUGUUUUUCUAGAGUGUCGGAGAGGCAAGUGGAAUUCCUAGUGUAGCGGUGAAAUGCGUAGAUAUUAGGAGGAACACCAGUGGCGAAGGCGGCUUGCUGGACGAUGACUGACGUUGAGGCUCGAAAGCGUGGGGAGCAAACAGGAUUAGAUACCCUGGUAGUCCACGCCGUAAACGAUAAUAGGAGGGGUCGGGGGGCAAAACCAUUCCGUGCCGCAGCCAACGCAAUAAGUAGUCCACCCGGGGAGUACGUUCGCAAGAAAGAAACUCAAAGGAAAUGACGGGGACCCGCACAAGCGGUGGAGCAUGUGGUGUAAUUCGAAGCAACGCGAAGAACCUUACCUGCUCUUGACAUCCCCCUGACCGUCCCUUAAUCGGGGCUUUCCUUCGGGACAGGGGAGACAGGUGGUGCAUGGUUGUCGUCAGCUCGUGUCGUGAGAUGUUGGGUUAAGUCCCGCAACGAGCGCAACCCCUAUCUUUAGUAGCCAGCGGCCAGGCCGGGCACUCUAGAGAGACUGCCAGGGAUAACCUGGAGGAAGGUGGGGAGGACGUCAAAUCAUCAUGCCCCCUAUGAGCAGGGCUACACACGUGCUACAAUGGCGUAAACAAAGGGAGGCAGAGCCGCGAGGCCGAGCAAAUCUCAAAAAUAACGUCUCAGUUCGGAUUGUAGUCUGCAACUCGACUACAUGAAGCUGGAAUCGCUAGUAAUCGCGAAUCAGAAUGUCGCGGUGAAUAAGAGCCCGGGUCUUGCACA